AUUGAACGCCGGCGGCAUGCUUUACACAUGCAAGUCGAACGGUAACAGGCCUUCGGGUGCUGACGAGUGGCGAACGGGUGAGUAAUGCAUCGGAACGUGCCCAGAGGUGGGGGAUAACGCAGCGAAAGCUGUGCUAAUACCGCAUGUGAUCUGAGGAUGAAAGCGGGGGACCAAGCAGCAAUGUUUGGCCUCGCGCCUCUGGAGCGGCCGAUGUCAGAUUAGGUAGUUGGUGGGGUAAAGGCCUACCAAGCCGACGAUCUGUAGCUGGUCUGAGAGGACGACCAGCCACACUGGGACUGAGACACGGCCCAGACUCCUACGGGAGGCAGCAGUGGGGAAUUUUGGACAAUGGGCGCAAGCCUGAUCCAGCAAUGCCGCGUGCGGGAAGAAGGCCUUCGGGUUGUAAACCGCUUUUGUACGGAACGAAAAGGCUCUGGCUAAUACCUGGGGCUGAUGACGGUACCGUAAGAAUAAGCACCGGCUAACUACGUG
rnacentral:rRNA from 1 species